AAGUCGAACGAGAUCUUCGGAUCUAGUGGCGCACGGGUGCGUAACGCGUGGGAAUCUACCCUUGGGUUCGGAAUAACGUCGGGAAACUGACGCUAAUACCGGAUGAUGACGUAAGUCCAAAGAUUUAUCGCCCAAGGAUGAGCCCGCGUAGGAUUAGCUAGUUGGUGGGGUAAAGGCCCACCAAGGCGACGAUCCUUAGCUGGUCUGAGAGGAUGAUCAGCCACACUGGGACUGAGACACGGCCCAG
rnacentral:rRNA from 1 species